CGCUCAGUCGUCCAUUUCGCACGGCACAGUCCACUGUUAGUUGGUGGUUUUCGUCUCCGUCCCUUUUCUCAUUUCUUGUAAACGUCUUCUACGGUAGUGUUGUUAAACAGUCCCUACCUACCUUUGUUAGUCGUGCAUUAUCCUUUCCAGUCAUUGUUACUCUUUCUAUCAACUAAUAAUCCAGUCUGUAGUGGCCACAACGCUCUCUCAGUGAGUAACAAGUUCAGCAUAACGCUUUCCCAGUGAAUAAAAGGUUUAGCAUAACGCUCUCUCAGUGAGUAAUAAGUUCAGAAUAACGCUAUCCUUAUCUAAACGAUAUACGUAUUCCAGUCAGUCCACUCGGCCAACGUGUGAAGAAGAUUUCACGGAAAGGACGGUUCACUCAUGUGUGUCUGUCUGUGUUACGUACACAUUGUCCCUGUACAGACAUGUCCAGUCUAGAAGUCGAAGGGUUUGCUGAGGAAGUGCAGCGAGAAUAUGCCACAACGGAAAGUCUUCAGGCUGCUGUGCCUCCUGAGCAGUCGCAAUUGUCCUCCACAUCACAUAAAGUGACAUGGAAACCAUUCUCAUGGAGAUCAUCACCAUGCUGCUACUCAAUGGGAACAAUGCUCCUUCUUGUGAUCUGCUACAAGGGUUGGCGUCUUAAUGAUGAAAUCUUCUGCACUAUUGUACACUACAUAUUUAGUGUACAUAGUGUAGAGUUGAAUGAGAAAGACGAAACUAACAACAACUUGACACUACUGCACUGGUCUGCAAUGAGUGGAAAUGAUCGACUAACGAAUAUACUCAUCGGACGAGGAGCUGAUGUCAAUGCGCAGGCCAGCUGUUACCGGUGGACUCCACUUCACGAGGCAGUCCACUAUAACAAGAUCAACGUUGUCAAGGUGAUACUGUCACAUGACAGUGAUGGUGUCACCUUGGACACCACACUGCGUG